rnacentral:rRNA from 1 species
UACAGAGGGUGCGAGCGUUAAUCGGAAUUACUGGGCGUAAAGCGCACGUAGGCGGCUUGGUAUGUCGGGUGUGAAAUCCCCGGGCUUAACCUGGGAACUGCGUUUGAAACUACAAGGCUAGAGUGUGGCAGAGGGGGGUGGAAUUCCACGUGUAGCAGUGAAAUGCGUAGAUAUCGGGAGGAACACCUGUGGCGAAGGCGGCUUCCUGGACCGACACUGACGCUGAG